UUCUUGGACGCUAUCUUUAAGUGUUGGACUUCAUUGAACACUUUUUCAUAACAUAUAUUAAUAUAAACAAGAGUGAGUACACACGACAAGAAAGUUAGUUGUAUAUAAAAGGAAAGUUGAGUAUUCAGAUUUCAAAGCAAGGAAACAAGAAGAGAGGAGAAGAGGAAGGGGAAAAUGGCUGCCUUAUCAGAGAACGAGGCUAAAGCUUAUCUCGACGCAAGGCCUAGAUAUCCCAUCGAUUGGUACAAGAAGAUUGCCGCACGGUCACAAAUUUGCUUGGGAUAUAUAUGUCGGAACUGGCAACGGUCAGGCGGUAAUUAUCAGCUUUCUAAUUCUGCAUUCUUAUGUCUUAGGCUCUUAGCAUCUGGAAAAAAAAUCUAAAAACCUUCCUUUACUUGUAAGAACUAGUUAGUAUGAUUUGUGUGAUACGGCGAUUAUGCUAAUAAAUCCAGCAACAAGAUUACGGAGUACUAAUUAAUUUACUUAAUUAGGAUGGCUCUUUUGUUUCAUAUAGGAUUAUUAUUCUAUAGAUAAGUCAAAUUUGGUGGCGGCAUAUUGAUCUUUGUUAUUCACCCUACAGACUAAUAAACACCAAAAGCUAAUCAUACAAUCAAAGUAGGAAAAAACACUUACUUAUGAUUAAUAAUCUAAUCUAAUUUGUGUUGAAAACUCCAAGAAGAAAAAAGAUACUAGCUUGGACUAGGUUUGUCGAUGGUGAUACAAAUUAUUUUAAAUUGAUUAUUUUUUUACGUUCACAAGUAUUUUUUAAACAGAUUUAUUAAUUCUAUAAAUAUAAUUUAAUUGGUGGUGGUCUUUUGGAUUUAUGGGUGUAUACAUCCAAUAGUUGGUCUAAGAGUCAAACUGAAAUUCAUAAUUCAUAUUGGGAAAAAUACUACUCCUGGAAAAUGUUGUUUGGUGGACCAUAUCGAUGCAAAGGAACCACCAUUGAUGGUAAUAGUAUUAUUUUUGUGCAAGGAGUUUCCAAUUCUCAAACAGUCAACCUCCUCUAUUACCGUAUGGAAGACCAGACACACAUUUCAAUGAAUAUCAUACAUCAGUCCUCGAAGAAAGGGCCAGUUCACACUUAUGUGAAUUUGGUUGAAGAUCGGAUCUUACUACUUGAAAGAUGCGCUACUGUCCCUUAUCUACUUUCUGCAUGCGGACUACACCGCUGCAAAGGAUAACGUAUGAUGAACUGGGAAAUGGAAGUGCAUUAUGUUGAUGCUGCGACUGCUUAUAACAGGCACCACCAACCUUGCUUAGAGCGUGUAAUAAGCUCAGCGGAAUCACCAACAAACUUUAGCCAACCGUUGCUUGGCAGUUGGCACAGACUCCAUUUGAGGCUAAAGGUUAAACUGUUUUGAAACCUUGUCUUCUUAAAUCAUGGAUGAUAUCUCUAGGAUUUUGAAGCGUCUCUCCACACGUACAUCCUCAUGUGAUAACUUCCACAUCCACACGUACAUCCUCAUAUAUAUAUGGCCAAGUGAUUGUAGAGAAAAACGAGUUACUUUGACAAAUGCUGAAUGUUUUUUACACAUUAAUUAGUUUGGUUAUUACAUGUUUCUUUUCCAUAUAUAUAUAUAUAUAUAUAUGUGUGGAAUAUGUAUUUGGAAUAUUUAUUCACAAACUGGAAAAACAUAAUUUUGCAGAGAGUUUAUCAGAUUCAUUCAAAUCUCAAGUUAUUUUAUGUGUCCUUUUAUCCUCUAUAGUCUAUAGUAUAACUUCCACGUCCACUUUUCAUUCACUUCCUUUUCUGCUGCUUUCUCUUCGAUGGCAUUGUAUCGAACACCUGGUGGGGGUGUACAUUUCCAACUUAGCAUCUAAGCUUCGGUCAACACCUCUUCACAUACAAUUCCUGUAUUCUCAAUCCCGUACCUAACGAGGAUCUUCAUUCGCCCGUUGCAUCAUCUCAAAGCUAUCAACCAACUUCUAUUAAUCGACAAUGUACUCUGCCAGAAUCAUCUGCGGCUUCCACCUGAAUCGGAGCAUCACGAAGAGUGUGUUGAUAAUCCCUCUCGAGCUUUUUGAGUCGCUUCUCUGCUUUGGAAACUGACAACAUGUGCACAACCGGAUCAGCAUCAGGUGACACCUUGUCAUGGAAUGGAGAAAUCAUAGCUUGAAUGAAGCAACCUAUCACAAUUGAUUAUCCAAACUCGUGCACCCCACGCCAAGUGGUUCUCUUCCUCUUUGUGAUGCUUCUUCUGUAUUCAGCUUGUCAAGAACAUUCUGCAGUUGCUCCACUAAGCGUUCGCUGUCAUUAA